rnacentral:rRNA from 1 species
UAGGGAAUCUUCCACAAUGGACGCAAGUCUGAUGGAGCAACGCCGCGUGAGUGAAGAAGGUUUUCGGAUCGUAAAGCUCUGUUGUUGGUGAAGAAGGAUAGAGGCAGUAACUGGUCUUUAUUUGACGGUAAUCAACCAGAAAGUCACGGCUAACUACGUGCCAGCAGCCGCGUUAAUACGUAGGUGGCAAGCGUUGUCCGGAUUUAUUGGGCGUAAAGCGAGCGCAGGCGGAAUGAUAAGUCUGAUGUGAAAGCCCACGGCUCAACCGUGGAACUGCAUCGGAAACUGUCAUUCUUGAGUGCAGAAGAGGAGAGUGGAAUUCAAUGUGUAGCGGUGGAAUGCAUAGAUAUAUGGAAGAACACCAGUGGCGAAGGCGGCUCUCUGGUCUGCAACUGACGCUGAGGCUCGAAAGCAUGGGUAGCGAACAGG